GAUGAACGCUGGCGGUAUGCUUAACACAUGCAAGUCGAACGGACUCUUCGGAUUUAGUGGCGGACGGGUGAGUAACGCGUGAGAAUCUGGCUUUGGGUUCGGGACAACCACUUGAAACGGUGGCUAAUACCGGUUGUGCCGAGAGGUAAAAGAGAAAUUGCCUGAAGAUGAGCUCGCGUCUGAUUAGCUAGUUGGUGAGGUAAAGGCUCACCAAGGCAGCGAUCAGUAGCUGGUCUGAGAGGAUGACCAGCCACACUGGGACUGAGACACGGCCCAGACUCCUACGGGAGGCAGCAGUGGGGAAUGUUCAGCAAUGGGCGAAAGCCUGACGGAGGAAUACCGCGUGAGGGAAGAAGGCUCUUGGGUUGUAAAUCUCUUUACUGAGGGAAGAACAAAAUGACGGUACCUAAGGAAUCAGCAUCGGCUAACUACGUG
rnacentral:rRNA from 1 species